rnacentral:rRNA from 1 species
GACGAACGCUGGCGGCGUGCUUAACACAUGCAAGUCGAACGAUGAAGAAAAGAAUUGAAGCUUCGGCAGAAAUUCAUUUCGGAUUAGUGGCAGACGGGUGAGUAACGCGUGAGCAACCUACCUCUUACAAAGGGAUAGCCUCGGGAAACCGGGAUUAAUACCAUAUAACAUUGCGACGAAGCAUUUCGCUUCAAUCAAAGCUACGGCGGUAAGAGAUGGGGUCGCGUCCCAUUAACAAAGUGGUGAGGUAACGGCUCACCAUAGUAACGAUGGGUAACCGGGCUGAUAGGGUGAGCGCUCGAACUGGAAGUGAGGCACGAGCGAGACUUCUUGGGGAGGGAGCAGAAGCGAAUAUUGGCCAAUGGAGGGAACUGAAGUGCAGCGACGCCGCGUGAGGGAUGAAGGAAGGCGUAUCGUAAAACUCUGUUAUAUGGGAAGAAAAGGACUGUAACAUAGGAGAAAGCUCCGGCUAAAUACGUG